rnacentral:rRNA from 1 species
UACGAGGGGUGCAAGCGUUGCUCGGAAUUAUUGGGCGUAAAGGGUAGGUAGGUGGUCUCAUUUGUCUGGGGUGAAAGCCUCGAGCUUAACUCGAGAAGUGCCCUAGAAACGGUGAGACUGGAGUCCUGGAGAGGGUCGUGGAAUUCCCAAUGUAGCGGUGAAAUGCGUAGAUAUUGGGAGGAACACCAGUGGCGAAGGCGGCUACCUGGACCGGAACUGACGCUGAGGAGCGAAAGCGUGGGGAGCGAACAGG